GCCUGUCUACGGAGGGAGCCAUGAUGGAAAGUCAGCAGCCGGGCGAGUGUCUGCAGGAGGGGGGUAAAUCCCGUCACUAUGGCGACGGGCACAGAGGGCAGCGCUGGGGGGCAUCACCUGUGCCCAGUUGCAGGGUAGGGGAAUCGGGACGUACGACAAACCAGCAGUGCAAUGGAAGAUGAACUGAAGACGUUCAGUAAUUAUGAGUGGUAUAGAAGCAACUGUAAUAAAAUGUUUUGAAUUUGAA